rnacentral:lncRNA from 1 species
UAUAUGUGACAUGUGGUCACGGGUGGUGUUAGUGGAAUGAUGAAAGUUGUCCUGGGAGAGUUUUUUUUUUCCAAAGAUGAUUCACGGGUGGUUGAAGUUUUUCUUUUCAAGCAUGUGUUAUAUAAUACAUUUAUAUAUUAUAUUUCUUUGGUUUUGUUUUAUUAAAGAAUUCAAUCGGAAAAUGAAUUCCGUGACUUACAUUUUGAAUCCGUGAGUUUUUUUCUUCUUCACAGUACUCCUUCCAUUCUCCUAUAAAUAGGAUGCUUAGUUAGAAUUGAAAUCACACCAGAAAUUUAGUGAAUUCUCUUCUACAAUCUUGAGCGUAUUUCUUUAGAGUUUUAAAAUGCUUUGAGUGUAGUGCAAGUUUUCUUCAAGAAUAUCCUCGCCCUACCAGUCGAAAUACUCUUCUUUUACGGUAAGGGGUAUUAUUUCUUUCGUAUUCAUGAAGAGAACUCUGUUAUUCCAUUCUUUAUUAUUCUGUUGGAAUAACCUGUAUACGCGGACUACCCUAUACUUGGUGAAAUUCUUCUGUUAUUCCAUUCUUUAUUAUUAUGUUAGAAUAACCUGUAUAUACGAAGUACCGCAUACAUGGUGAAAUUCUUCUGUUAUUCCAUUCUUUAUUAUUCUGUUGGAACAUCAUGUCUGUUCGUUUACGCAUAACCUGGUUUCGUUAUUUAUUAUUCAGUUGGAACAUCCUGUCGGUGCAAAUUUUGCCAGACUUGGUUCCGUUAUUUAUUAUUCUGUUGGAAUAUCCUGUCUGUACGUUUACGCAUGACCUGGUUCUGUUAUUUAUUAUUCUGUUGGACUAACCUGUUUGUGCGGUUUAUCGCAAGCCUGGUGAUUUCUUUUGUUAUUCCAUUCUUUAUUAUACUCAGUUGGUUAAAGUUUUGACCUUUAUACUCCAUGAAAUUAAUGGAAUAUCCUUGAUAUUUGAGCUUCAUCCAGUAUCUUCUCAUGGAAAUAUUCUUAUGAGCAUUCUUGAGUUUUACCCUACAAAGCAGUAUCAUGUUGACAAUUUGGACGUUAUUGGUUCCUGGAUAAAUUAAUUCUUGAACUUGUUUUAUUGAAUUCUUAUAUCAUUGUCAUCAUCCUCAUGUUUAUAUUAUGUUGAAAGUCAUCUGUGGCCUGUAGUGCAUAGAUGGACUUGGUAUGAUUAUGACCAGGGAUUAUUCGGUAUAAUCAUGACCGUAAUGUUACAAAUGAUAUGGUAAAAGUCCUCAUUGGCCCGUAGUGCAUUGAUGGACAGUUGUUGGCAUGAUCAUGACCAUUGAUGAAUAUACGAAUAUCCUUGGCCCGUAGUGCAUGGAUAAUUUGUGGUCGUGAUACUAAUGGAUAUCCUUGGCCGUAGUGCAGGGAUGACGUGGAUUAUUUAUCAAGUUGAGUCUCAGCGAUAAAAGUGAUGAAAAACCUUUUUAAAUCAUAAAAGAUAGUAGAUUUUAUUCUCUACAUGACUCUUUUAAUGGAUUGCUUGUUCCGCUGCAGUUAAACUUGAUGUUUGUAAUAUUUUAUCAGUUUAACACUGUUGAAGGCUAACGAUAAUUUAUUCUGCAUUAUCUUAGUCAUAAUAUUUCUUACUGGGCUAGUUGAGCUCACCCUUUCUUUCACUAUUCUCUUCAGGAAAUGAGAACGUAGCCGGGACUAGUCGGGAUAUGGAGUGACGGUCCAGAUGAUAGUAUUAGUAGUCCUCACUAUUCUGUUAAAUAGUGUGACAAUAAAUGUAAUGAGGAAUCCAUUGAGUGUGGAUAUUGUCUAGAUGACAAUAUUCUUAUUAAAACACUUAGAUUAUGUUUUGUCGUAUUUUACACGAUGGUUGUAUAAUUAAGUUUGUAUUUGUUUUCUAUACCAUGUAUUUGGCGACUCAAGAUGGGUGGUGUAUACCUAUUUUGGGGGCUUCACAAUUGGUAUCAAAGCUUAGGAAUAUGAUCCCUGGCUGAGAUGUGAGACAAGAACUAGUAGGGGAGAGACGGGGAAUUCCUUCGCUAGUAUGACCUACCUAAGUUUAUUUGGUAUUUAAUUGGUCAGUCAGAGUAUAGGGAUAAUAUGUGAUAUGUUAAUUAACCCUUGUUUUGUGGCAGUAUUUGAAAAUGGCAUUCGAGAAUGUUGAGAAUAGCAAUGGAGCACAGGAGACCGUUGAGUCUCUACGGAUCAAUAAUCAGGACAACGUGCAUCAGAAAGGCGACAAUCCUCAUGCAAACAACAACACUGAUCAAAUAAUGAAUGAUGGAAUGUUCAGAGGCUUUCUACAAUGCAUGCAGCAUCAGGCAAGAGAGACUCCUGUCCGAAAUGCAGGUGGAAACACUGGCAACUCUCGGACGGUCACUGCUAAGCAGUUCAAGGAGCUGGGACCACCGGAGUUUUUUGGAGAGCUAAAAUCACUUAAGGCGGAGACGUGGAUAAAACAGAUCAACAAGAUAUUUGAUGUCUUGGGAUGCUCCGAGGAGCAAAAGGUUCCCUUUGCCACCUUCAUGUUGCGGGCAGAGGCAGAUUACUGAUGGAAAUCUGUAAAGCGUACUCAACCUGCCGCAUUGAAGAUGUCUUGGGAGAAGUUCCAAGAACUGUUCAACUAAAAAGUACUUUUCUGAAAGUAUUCGUCACAUGAAAGAGGUAGAGUUCAUUAAACUGGAACAAAACAACAUGACCGUGUCGCAGUACGAAGCCAAGUUUGCCGAGCUGUCCCGGUUUGCGUCCCAUCUGGUUGAUAAUGAGGAGAGAAUGACACGGAUGUUUCUAAGAUGUUUGAAACCCGAGAUACGUCAAUACUUCAUUUCUCAUAAACUUUUCUUGUAUUUAGAUGUUGUUAAUAGGGCUUAGUUGUUGGAGUGCGAUAAUGAGUCAACCCAACCAAAAGAGAGCAGCCGACAAAAUGAUAAUACCAGUGAUAGUAGUCAUUGAAGCGGUGACAACAAGCGUGGAGGGAAUCAUCAUGCCAGAAUUAGUAACCACUUCGGUGGUAAUCAUGGUCAAAAUAAUAAGAGUGGACAUUUCAAGAAGAGGAGAUUCAACAAUGAUGGAAAGACGUCAGCAUCAGCACCCGUCGUUAAGGAAGGAGAACGACCACCUAUCAUAUGCUUCAAAUGUGGAGGGGAGGGACACAUCAGUCCAAACUGUGCGAUGCCAUCUAAAGCUUGUUACAAUUGUGGAAGAGAAGGCCACCUGGCUCGAUUUUAUCAUGCAUAGAAGACAAGUCCAGCUGGGAUGGAGGCAUCAAAGGCCGUCCCAAACAAGACAAAACUGGUAUUUCAAGGGAGAGCGUUUGUCGUGACCUCCCAGAAAGUAAGGAACCCGAACGAGGUCAUUACGGGUAAGCUUAUCAUAAACUCUAGAGAAGUAUAUACCUUAUUUGAUACCAGUUCUACCCAUUCUUUUAUUUCUCCUAAUUGCGCUCAACGUUUAAAUUUGACUCCGGAGAAAUUAGACUUUGACUUAUCUGUUGAAACUCCGUUGGGAGAAACCUUCAUUAAAUCCACUAUUUAUAAGUCUUGUUUGGUUCAAAUCGGUACCCUCACAUUACCUGUCGAUCUUAUUUCAUUGAAAAUACUUGCAUUUGACGUAAUUCUAGGGAUUGAUUGGUUAACUACUCAUCAUGCAAAAAUUGAUUAUUUUCGUAAGGUUGUUAGCUUUCUUAUUCCUAAGCAACCUAUUAUGCGAAUUCAAGCAACCAAACCAUUAAAAUCAAUCACCGUCAUCUCAAGCCAUAAAGCUAUUCGUUUAUUAAAAAACGGAUGUCAAGCUUUCUUAGCUGAUGUCACGGAUCUAAACAAAAAUACGUCGGUUUUGAAUGAUAUUUCUAUUGUUAAUGAAUUUCCUGACGUAUUCCCUGAAGAACUCCCUGGACUACCCCUAGAGCGUGAAAUUGAAUUUUGUAUCGACCUUGAACCUGGUACAAAACCUAUUUCCAAAGCCCCAUAUCGAAUGGCUCCUAUUGAACUUCAUGAGUUAAAGACCCAACUGCAGGAAUUGUUAGACAUCGGUUUCAUUCGUCCUAGUACUUCUCCUUGGGGUGCUCCUGUUCUAUUCAUGAAGAAGAAAGAUGGGAGUAUGCGACUUUGUAUUGAUUAUCGGGAGUUGAAUCAUGUCACCAUCAAAAAUAGGUACCCAUUUCCACGUAUUGAUGACCUGUUUGACCAGUUGCAAGGCGCCAAAUUCUUUUCAAAGAUUGAUCUUCAUUCUGGAUAUUACCAAUUGAAGAUUAGAAUCGAUGACAUUCCAAAGACGGAUUUCAGAACUCAGUAUGGGCAUUAUGAAUUCCUAGUCAUGUCUUUUGGAUUGACUAAUGCUCCUGCUGUCUUCGUGGAUAUGAUGAACCGAGUAUUCAAGGAAUAUUUGGAUCACUUUGUGGUCGUCUUUAUUGAUGACAUCCUCAUAUAUUCCAAAAGCCGUGAAGAUCAUGAGCAACACUUGAGGCUGAUACUCCAAAAGCUUCGUGAAAAUAAGCUUUAUGCCAAGUUGAAGAAAUAUGAGUUCUGGCUUGAGCAAGUAGCAUUCCUUGGGCACGUGGUAUCAAGUUAUGGAAUAUCUGUUGACCCGGCAAAGAUUGAAGAUAUUCAAAGUGGGAACAACCUAAAUUAGUGACCGAAGUACGUAGCUUUCUCGGCUUAGCUGGUCAUUAUUGGAGAUUCGUAGAAGAGUUUUCUCGAAUCGCUACUCCAUUAACUCAGCUGACUCGAAAAGAUACAAAUUUUGGUUGGAGUGAGGAAUCCGAGAAGAGUUUUCAAGAACUCAAGAGAAGACUCAUUUCAGCACCUGUUCUGACAAUACCAUCUGGUUCGGAGGGAUUUGUCAUCUACAGUGAUGCUUCGGGCAAAGGGUUAGGAUGUGUUCUCAUGCAACAUGGGAAAGUCAUAGCCUAUGCCUCUCAACAAAUCAAAGAAUAUGAGAGGAAUUAUCCUACUCAUGAUCUAGAGUUGGCAGCAGUCGUUUUUGCACUAAAGAUUUGGAGGCAUUACUUAUAUUGGGAAAAAGUGGAGAUCUUUACGGAUCAUAAAAGCCUCAAAUAUUUCUUCACUCAAAAGGAACUCAAUAUGCGACAGCGACGUUGGCUUUAACUGAUGAAAGAUUAUGAUCAUACCAUCCAAUACCAUCAUGAAAAAGCGAACGUGGUAGCUGACGCAUUGAGUAGAAGAUCAUAUGUGGGUACGAGUGCGAUAUUGUCAAUGCAAAGGCCCAUUUUGUAUGACUUGAAAAGGAUGGAGAUAGAGAUAAAGACUCCAGGGACCCACGUGAUGAUGGUGAAUAUACGAGUAGAACCGACUUUAAUCGAUAAAGUUAAAGCUGCUCAAGCUACAGAUCUGGAGCUGAUGCAUAUGAGGAAGAAAGUACAAGAAGGUGUUAUGCCAGAAGCAAGAAUCGAUGAAGAAGGAAUACUUCGAGUCAACUCCAGACUUUGUAUUCCUAACGACCCUGAGUUAAAGUAUAAAAUCAUGAUGGAGGCGCACAACACACCGUUUACAAUCCAUCCUGGGAGUGCCAAAAUGUAUCAUGAUCUUCGACAUACAUUUUGGUGGGGCAAUAUGAAGAGAGAGAUAACGUUGUUUAUCUCAAGGUGUUUAACUUAUCAACGAGUCAAGGUAGAGCAUCAAGUACCAAAAGGUCCAUUGCAACCACUUAAAAUUCCAGAAUGGAAGUGGGAGCACAUUACCAUGGAUUUUGUUACUAGUCUUGCCAAGGUUUCUCAAGGCAUAGAUGCAGUUUGGGUCAUUGUUGAUAGAUUGACCAAGUCUGCUCAUUUCUUACCUAUACGAGAAACUUAUACACUUGAACGUCUUGCUCGUAUGUACAUAAACGAGGUUGUAAGAUUGCAUGGUAUGCCAGUAUCCAUAGUUUCUGAUCGAGACCCAAGAUUCACUUCACGAUUUUGGGUUAGUUUGCAAAAAGCUAUGGGCACGGAUUUACGAUUUAGUUCGGCAUAUCAUCCUCAGACGGACGGACAAUCAGAGAGGACUAUUCAAACUCUUGAAGAUUUAUUAAGACUCUGUGUCCUUGACUUCAAGGGAAGUUGGGACAAGUUCUUGCUAUUGGUGGAGUUUUCCUACAACAACAGUUAUCAAGCAAGUAUUGGCAUGGCUCCAUUCGAAGCGUUGUAUGGAAGAAAGUGUCGUUCUCCAGUAUACUGGGAUGAGGUUGGUGAAGUAACGUUGUUGGGACCGGAGUUAGUACGUAUGACUACAUAAAAGAUUCAAAUGAUCCAGCAACGUAUAAAAACCUCAAAAGAUCGACAAAAGAGUUAUGCUGAUCUUCAUCGAAAAGACGUAGAAUUCGAUAUUGGAGAUCAUGUGUUGUUACGUGUUGCUCCAUGGAAAGGAGUUACGAGAUUUAGAAAGAGAGAAAAGCUCAAUCUUCGAUUCAUUGACCCAUUUUUAAUCCUCAAUCGAGUAGGAACUGUGGCGUAUAGACUCACUUUACCGCCAAGUAUGUCUCGUGUUCAUAACGUUUUUCAUAUAUCCAUGUUACGUAAAUAUGUGGAAGCCCCGAACCACCUUAUUGAGUUAGAAUUGGAAGAAAUAGCGGAAUAUUUAACGUAUGAAGAGGUUCCUGUUCAAAUCUUGGAUAAGAAGGAACAUAUUCUACGCUUCAAGGUUAUACCUCAAGUCAAAGUUUUGUGGAGAAACCACGAUGUUGAGGAAAUGACCUGGGAGUUAGAAUCUGAAAUGAAAUCAAGGUAUCCUUAACUCUUCGACAUACCAGGUUUGUACCCUAAUUUCGAGGGAAAAAUUUCAUAAGAAGGGGAGGUUGUAAGACCCCAACUUUUUUUGAUAAAGAUGAUUUUUCUAUAAAUAUCAUUUUUAAAUAUUAUGGAAUGAAUUUGAUAUAAUGUUAUAGUUGUGGAUAAUAUUUAUAAAUUUUUCAAAGUACGCAAGUUGUUAUAUAAUAUUCGAUUGGUUGGGGAAUAUUCUUUUUAACAGGGAAUAUUCGUACGACGACACAAUCAUUGGUGGACCUCACAACAUAAUUAUUGUCGGAUUGAGAAAACGACAAAAAUAUUUUAUGAAAAUAACGGCGAAAGUUUUACCGUUAACUGUUGAAACACCCGGUGUUAAAAGUACAAGAAUACGCGUGGUCGCAUAAUAGCACACGGUAUUGAUUAUUGAUGUUUACGUGAGAAGUCACUCAGUUUUGUUCAAUUAUUACUUCAGUAAUUGUUGCAUAGUAUCUCACGUUAUUUGAUUCAAUUAUUGUUGAUAUUUUAAAUAUUAUUAAAUCAAUAAUUGAGAUGAUAGAGUUAUUAAUAUUAUUAUUUACAAUAUUAAUGAUGUCUAGAAGUUCUGCCAAUGAGAGGUUUGGUCACCUAAUUGCGCGCCAAUAGGGAGAAAUCCUUAUUGGAAAGCCCCCUCUUUCCUAGAAAUGACAUGGUCGAUUAAUAUUGUGAAUUAUAAUAAUGAUGAUAAAUGUUGUUAAAAAUAUUGAGGUAAUUUUUAUGAAAUUUUCCUUAUUUUAUGGACCCCCCAUUUACCAAUUUUUCAAAAUAUUCGGUAAAAAGUUAUCUCAGAUAUAUAUAUAUAUAUAUAUAUAUAUAUAUAAAGGUGUAGGGUUUAUAUUAUAUAUUGUGGGCCCAAGUGCAAAAUUAGGGUUCACAUGACCUAAUUGAAUUAAAUACACAAUUAAGGUUCUACGACCUCAUUAAGUGUGCAAAUUAGGGUUUGUAUAACCUAAUCGAAUGAGGGCGAAAAAGUCAGAAAUAAAUGUGUUAGACCCGGGAGAAGCCUCCAUGUGUCCCGAGGCAGAAGACUCGUGGAGGCGGCUCGUUUUGGGAAUUGAUUGAGGGAUUGGAUUGGUGGCUAGAAGGACAGGGCAAUAUGGGCAUUAUUCUAAUGACUAAAGGAUAUUUCUGGAAUUUUCCUUAAAGCAUGUGCCUNNNNNNNNNNNNNNNNNNNNNNNNNNNNNNNNNNNNNNNNNNNNNNNNNNNNNNNNNNNNNNNNNNNNNNNNNNNNNNNNNNNNNNNNNNNNNNNNNNNNCACGGGUGGUUAAAGUUUUUCUUUUCAAGCAUGUGUUAUAUAAUACAUUUAUAUAUUAUAUUUCUUUAGUUUUGUUUUAUUAAAGAAUUUAAUCGGCAAAUGAAUUCCUUGACUUACAUUUUGAAUCCGUGAGUUUUUUUCUUCUUCACAGUACUCCUUCCAUUCUCCUAUAAAUAAGAUGCUUAGUUAGAAUUGAAAUCACACCAGAAAUUUAGAGAAUUCUCUUUUACAAUCUUGAGCGUAUUUCUUUAGAGUUUUAAAAAGCUUUAAGCGUAAUGCAAGUUUUCUUCAAGAAUAUCCUCACUCUACCAGUCGGAAUACUCUUCUUUUACGGUAAAGGGUAAAAUUUCUUUCAUAUUCAUGAAGAGAACUCUGUUAUUCCAUUCUUUAUUAUUCUGUUGGAAUAACCUGUAUACGCGGACUACCCUAUACUUGGUGAAAUUCUUCUGUUAUUCCAUUCUUUAUUAUUAUGUUAGAAUAACCUGUAUAUGCGAAGUACCGCACACAUGGUGAAAUUUUUCUGUUAUUCCAUUCUUUAUUAUUCUGUUGGAACAUCCUAUCUGUGCGUUUACGCAUAACCUGGUUCCGUUAUUUAUUAUUCUGUUGGAACAUCCUGUCGGUGCGAAUUUCGCCUGACCUGGUUCCGUUAUUUAUUAUUCUGUUGGAA